GGAAUAACUUCGGGAAACCGGAGCUAAUGCCGGAUAACAUUUGGAACCGCAUGGUUCUAAAGUAAAAGAUGGUUUUGCUAUCACUUAUAAAUGGACCCGCGCCGUAUUAGCUAGUUGGUAAGGUAACGGCUUACCAAGGCAACGAUACGUAGCCGACCUGAGAGGGUGAUCGGCCACACUGGAACUGAGACACGGUCCAGACUCCUACGGGAGGCAGCAGUAGGGAAUCUUCCGCAAUGGACGAAAGUCUGACGGAGCAACGCCGCGUGAGUGAUGAAGGUUUUCGGAUCGUAAAACUCUGUUAUUAGGGAAGAACAAAUGUGUAAGUAACUGUGCACAUCUUGACGGUACCUAAUCAGAAAGCCACGGCUAACUACGUGCCAGCAGCCGCGGUAAUACGUAGGUGGCAAGCGUUAUCCGGAAUUAUUGGGCGUAAAGCGCGCGUAGGCGGUUUCUUAAGUCUGAUGUGAAAGCCCACGGCUCAACCGUGGAGGGUCAUUGGAAACUGGGAAACUUGAGUACAGAAGAGGAAAGUGGAAUUCCAUGUGUAGCGGUGAAAUGCGCAGAGAUAUGGAGGAACACCAGUGGCGAAGGCGACUUUCUGGUCUGUAACUGACGCUGAUGUGCGAAAGC
rnacentral:rRNA from 1 species